rnacentral:tRNA from 1 species
GGAGUUGUGGCUCAUCGGUAGAGCACUCGCCUAGAAAAUGUGAGGCCCUGGGUUUGAUCCUCAGCACCA